rnacentral:lncRNA from 1 species
CGGGGCGCUGCUGAUUUUUAUUUUUAUUUUCGUUCUUUUUUUCCUCCCCCCCCGCCCUUUCAAGAGUUUCCUGGUUGCUUCUUGCAUUCAGAUGAGCUUAUCGUGAUUUUUUUUUUUUUUUCAAAUGUGAAGGUGCCCUGUUGGGAGUGAGCUAGCCAGGUUGGGAAGGAAGGAAACAGGGGCUUGAGGGUCUCUCCGGGCAUCCUGCACACGGGGUGGUGGGGGGGGGGGUGGAGCUGGGAAGUUAUUGUCAGGGAUUUUGCAAGGUCUUGUUUGCAGUUGAUGCAUCAAGGUCUGUCCCAGUACUUAUUGCAAUCUUGGAUGUGGAGAGCGCUGCUGGAUCUGGCUCAUUUAGGAAGUCAGAGUCCCUUUGGUUUAUGCUUCCAGGAAAUAGGAAAAGAGGCUUGGUGAGACACCUUAAUGGUUUCUGCCUCAGUCUUUUCAGAUUUAUAGACUAUCCAUAUGUUGCAAAUUAAAUAGCAGUUGAUGUUUUUCUCUUAGUCCUGAUUUUAAAAAAAUAUCCAAGAAGUAGAAGAUAGAAUAUAUAUCACAACAAAAGUUCCUUCAAACGAUAACAGCUGGGGCUAGGUAAGAUCUUAAAGGAGGCAUGAUUUAAACUGAAUUUGAAACAUUUUUUUUUUAAUAGCUGUAUAUUGAUGGAAAACAGAGGAAAUGGCAGAUGAAUAAAAACCAUAGUAAAUAAGAGCA